rnacentral:rRNA from 1 species
GACGAACGCUGGCGGCGUGCUUAACACAUGCAAGUCGAACGGAAAGGCCCUGCUUUUGUGGGGUGCUCGAGUGGCGAACGGGUGAGUAACACGUGAGUAACCUGCCCUUGACUUUGGGAUAAUUUCAGGAAACUGGGGCUAAUACCGGAUAGGAGCUCCUGCUGCAUGGUGGGGGUUGGAAAGUUUCGGCGGUUGGGGAUGGACUCGCGGCUUAUCAGCUUGUUGGUGGGGUAGUGGCUUACCAAGGCUUUGACGGGUAGCCGGCCUGAGAGGGUGACCGGCCACAUUGGGACUGAGAUACGGCCCAGACUCCUACGGGAGGCAGCAGUGGGGAAUAUUGCACAAUGGGCGGAAGCCUGAUGCAGCAACGCCGCGUGCGGGAUGACGGCCUUCGGGUUGUAAACCGCUUUCGCCUGUGACGAAGCGUGAGUGACGGAAAUGGGUAAAGAAGCACCGGCUAACUACGUG